UGUUUCAGAUACUGGCUUUGGUACUACUAGUGGAGGAGCAUUUGGAACAUCUGCAUUUGGUUCUAGCAAUAAUACUGGAGGCUUAUUUGGUAAUUCACAGACCAAACCAGGAGGACUGUUUGGUACCAGUUCAUUUAGCCAGCCAGCAACCUCCACAAGCACUGGUUUUGGGUUUGGCACAUCAACAGGAACAUCAAAUAGUUUGUUUGGAACUGCAAAUACAGGGACCAGUCUUUUCUCAUCCCAGAACAAUGCAUUUGCACAAAAUAAACCAACUGGAUUUGGGAAUUUUGGAACCAGUACUAGCAGUGGAGGACUCUUUGGAACUACAAAUACCACCUCUAAUCCU
rnacentral:lncRNA from 1 species